AUGUUCUCUGUAGCUCUGAUACUGCUGCUGGCUGCUGGAUCCUGUGUGAACAGUAUUGAUCUCAUCCAGACAGACUCAAUGGUUGUGCAGCCUGGACAGUCUCUGACCAUCAGCUGUCAGGUCUCUGGUUAUUCUUUGACUGAUAACAGCUAUGCAACAGGUUGGAUCAGACAGAGUGAAGGAAAACCAAUGGACUGGAUUUCCCAUCGGUGGGGUGGAGGAGGCUUUUACCAAAAUAAUGCUCUGAAGAACAAGUUCCUUUACCACACACUCACGUCUACUAGCUCGGUGACAUUAACAGGACAGAAUCUGCAGCCUGAGGACACAGCUGUGUAUUACUGUGUGCGUACAUCAUGGACUGAUGGUUGUACAGGUCAGAGUAUGGAGUCCAUUCCUUCCAGUUCAGUAGUGAAAAAGCCUGGGGAGACUCUCAGUCUCUCCUGCAGGGGAUCUGGCUUCACAUUUAGCUGCUGUGUUAUGAGCUGGAUCAACCUGCAGGAAAAGGACUAG